UACCGUCUCCCACCACCUCUCUCUCCUCCAGUCAGUAACUCUUCCUGCCUGUUCCCUCGACGCCAGCCCCUGCAUGCUAGCUGUUGUGCUGCACUACUGUACUUUUCAAGGGACUGCACUUCGACAGUUUGGGUGACCACGAAGGGACCCAGAGCAGACGUCUCUCCUUGCCUGAACUCCAAGAGGAUAGGCAGCCUUGGUACUAGCGAGGGCCCCUUGUGCCCAUCCACCUCCUUGAUCUAAGGAAACCCUUCUCCUGAAGGUUGCUAUGACUUAUGGCGAUUUGGUAAAUUAUACCUUUG